GACGAACGCUGGCGGCGUGCUUAAUACAUGCAAGUCGAACGGAAAGGCCCUGCUUUUGUGGGGUGCUCGAGUGGCGAACGGGUGAGUAACACGUGAGUAACCUGCCCUUGACUUUGGGAUAACUUCAGGAAACUGGGGCUAAUACCGGAUAGGAGCUCCUGCUGCAUGGUGGGGGUUGGAAAGUUUCGGCGGUUGGGGAUGGACUCGCGGCUUAUCAGCUUGUUGGUGGGGUAGUGGCUUACCAAGGCGUUGACGGGUAGCCGGCCUGAGAGGGUGACCGGCGACAUUAGGACUGAGAUACGGCGCAGACUCCUACGGGAGGCAGCAGUGGGGAAUAUUGCACAAUGGGCGGAAGCCUGAUGCGGCGGCGCCGCGUGCGGGAUGACGGCCUUCGAGUUGUGAACCGCUUUCGCCUGUGACGAAGCGUGAGUGACGGUAAUGGGUAAAAAAGCACCGGCUAACUACGUG
rnacentral:rRNA from 1 species